GCCAUGUGUAAUACACUGAUUGUUGUCAAAUGAGAAAAAAUUGGAUGCGUUAUGUUCACCAAAGGUGUUCUCCGCCGUCAUGCAGGAUCAUCUGCAUAACAUUUAGAUAAAGAGAGAGUUCUCAUGGAUGGGUACAUUUUAAAGUUUUGGCGGCUUUUGUCACAUAACUCUUUGGGUACUGAAGAAGUUGAUAAAAGGAGCCUAGGAAAUCUCAAUCGACAUAAUUGUUGUUGCCUCAGACAAACUGAGACCCGGGGAAGCACCUUAAUUUAGAAAAGCCAAGAUCUAUCCUUGGCCAUGGCCAGUGAUCUUCACUUUUGUUCACCACUGGACUCCAAAGACUCUGGAGGAGAGAGUGGGGCUGACGACUUUGCUCAGCUCUGCCUCACUUAAAUCCAAUUCACUUGACCGUCAAGAUAUCACUCACCUGAUGUCAUUGGGCCUCUUCAAGAACGUAGGACUAACAUUAACAA